GGGGCUAUAGCUCAGGCGGUUAGAGCGCUGUCCUGAUAAGACAGAGGUCCCAAGUUCAAGUCUUGGUAGCCCCA
rnacentral:tRNA from 1 species